AACCUACAUAAUGUUAUUUAGCUGCCUGUUUGGGCCGCACCCUUAACAAGGUCUGAAAAAAAAUCCACGUCAAUUGGCCUCCUCCUGCAGUCGUCACUCCACAGAGCGCCGGCUCCUCCUUCUCCUCUCCGGGCAGCAGACGUAUAUAAACAAGCUGAUCCAUCUUCCCCCAGCCUACCCAGUAACAUCAUGGUAACCAUUAGGCUACGUGGAGCGGGGACGGGAGGGCGCGCAGGCUCUGAUCGGGGCUGAUUUCCACAGAAAACGCGUCCGCGAGGAAGGCGCAGCCUCGGCGACUCAUCGAGCGCACGAUGCCGAGACGUUAUGUCGGCGUCACCUGUUGUCCGCGUCUGGAAAACGAUUCAAGCGCAGUCAACAGGACGGGGAGCCGAGGACAAGCAGAGGGACGGUGUUGGUAGUGCUAAGUGGAAGACUAGUGAUUUUGUUGUGACGCUGAUCAAAGAACAACAAGUCCCAGUCUGCCUCUCAGCAUAAGCUGCGCUCUUCAGCUUCUUCAAAUAAGUUCCCGUCUUCCCCAUGUUGGCUCUUGUGGCCCUUUAAAGGCAAACAAUGUUCCUGCCCUUGUGUGAACGGGUGUAGUCUUUACGUUUAGUAAUGUGAUUUACUGGAAAAAAAAAUGAAAUGUGAAGAUGAAAAAAAAAACAAUGUUCAACACCGCGAGGGAAGUAUUAAGACGACAGCUGUGAAGGAGCACAGAGAUGACGCCUGUAAACGCCAAAUAAUAUUGUCCUCGCUUCAUUUCUGAUCUUUUAUUCCAAACGUUCCUAGUUUUCAGUGGUGCUACAGCAAUAUCACUGUAAACCUAAAUGUUUAUUGUUGAUUAAUUAACCUGCUUUUAGCCUUUCAUUCAGCUUGAAUAAAACUGGACUGUGAACCUUUCA